AUUGAACGCUGGCGGCAUGCCUUACACAUGCAAGUCGAACGGCAGCACGGGAGCAAUCCUGGUGGCGAGUGGCGAACGGGUGAGUAGUACAUCGGAACGUGCCUAGUCGUGGGGGAUAGCCCGGCGAAAGCCGGAUUAAUACCGCAUACGACCGGAGGGUGAAAGCGGGGGAUCGCAAGACCUCGCGCUAUCAGAGCGGCCGAUGCCAGAUUAGGUAGUUGGUGGGGUAAAAGCCUACCAAGCCGACGAUCUGUAGCUGGUCUGAGAGGACGACCAGCCACACUGGGACUGAGACACGGCCCAGACUCCUACGGGAGGCAGCAGUGGGGAAUUUUGGACAAUGGGCGCAAGCCUGAUCCAGCCAUGCCGCGUGCAGGAAGAAGGCCUUCGGGUUGUAAACUGCUUUUGUCAGGGAAGAAAAGUUCUGGGCUAAUACCCCGGAGCGAUGACGGUACCUGAAGAAUAAGCACCGGCUAACUACGUGCCAGCAGCCGCAGUAA
rnacentral:rRNA from 1 species